CUUCAAGAGCAACUUAACAUCUCGCUUCAAGAAAAUGAGCAACUGAGCAAGCUAGACAAACUGAAGGCUUUAGUUCAACUGAAGAAGCAAAAUGGAUUCGCUGACAGUAAACUGAAGACAUGGAUGCAAUCCUGUGCUGAUGAGGUUGCCAUCUACGUACAUUCACUGACCCAGGACAACGAGCCAGAGUAUGACCCAGACGGACUCCCAG